rnacentral:rRNA from 1 species
AGAGUUUGAUCCUGGCUCAGAUUGAACGCUGGCGGCAGGCCUAACACAUGCAAGUCGAGCGGUAGCACAGAGAGCUUGCUCUCGGGUGACGAGCGGCGGACGGGUGAGUAAUGUCUGGGAAACUGCCUGAUGGAGGGGGAUAACUACUGGAAACGGUAGCUAAUACCGCAUAACGUCGCAAGACCAAAGUGGGGGACCUUCGGGCCUCAUGCCAUCAGAUGUGCCCAGAUGGGAUUAGCUAGUAGGUGGGGUAACGGCUCACCUAGGCGACGAUCCCUAGCUGGUCUGAGAGGAUGACCAGCCACACUGGAACUGAGACACGGUCCAGACUCCUACGGGAGGCAGCAGUGGGGAAUAUUGCACAAUGGGCGCAAGCCUGAUGCAGCCAUGCCGCGUGUGUGAAGAAGGCCUUCGGGUUGUAAAGCACUUUCAGCGGGGAGGAAGGCGUUAAGGUUAAUAACCUUGGCGAUUGACGUUACCCGCAGAAGAAGCACCGGCUAACUCCGUGCCAGCAGCCGCGGUAAUACGGAGGGUGCAAGCGUUAAUCGGAAUUACUGGGCGUAAAGCGCACGCAGGCGGUCUGUCAAGUCGGAUGUGAAAUCCCCGGGCUCAACCUGGGAACUGCAUUCGAAACUGGCAGGCUAGAGUCUUGUAGAGGGGGGUAGAAUUCCAGGUGUAGCGGUGAAAUGCGUAGAGAUCUGGAGGAAUACCGGUGGCGAAGGCGGCCCCCUGGACAAAGACUGACGCUCAGGUGCGAAAGCGUGGGGAGCAAACAGGAUUAGAUACCCUGGUAGUCCACGCCGUAAACGAUGUCGAUUUGGAGGUUGUGCCCUUGAGGCGUGGCUUCCGGAGCUAACGCGUUAAAUCGACCGCCUGGGGAGUACGGCCGCAAGGUUAAAACUCAAAUGAAUUGACGGGGGCCCGCACAAGCGGUGGAGCAUGUGGUUUAAUUCGAUGCAACGCGAAGAACCUUACCUGGUCUUGACAUCCACAGAACUUUCCAGAGAUGGAUUGGUGCCUUCGGGAACUGUGAGACAGGUGCUGCAUGGCUGUCGUCAGCUCGUGUUGUGAAAUGUUGGGUUAAGUCCCGCAACGAGCGCAACCCUUAUCUUUUGUUGCCAGCGGUUCGGCCGGGAACUCAAAGGAGACUGCCAGUGAUAAACUGGAGGAAGGUGGGGAUGACGUCAAGUCAUCAUGGCCCUUACGACCAGGGCUACACACGUGCUACAAUGGCAUAUACAAAGAGAAGCGACCUCGCGAGAGCAAGCGGACCUCAUAAAGUAUGUCGUAGUCCGGAUUGGAGUCUGCAACUCGACUCCAUGAAGUCGGAAUCGCUAGUAAUCGUAGAUCAGAAUGCUACGGUGAAUACGUUCCCGGGCCUUGUACACACCGCCCGUCACACCAUGGGAGUGGGUUGCAA